rnacentral:lncRNA from 1 species
GGCAGGGAGCAGACACCGGGAGUGAAGGAAGGAGAGACAGAGUCAGGGACGUUGGCGACAGAGAUGGGACCCAGAGCCUCUGCAUGGAUGAGACAGGCAGUGGGGCGGAAGGCAGACUGGACAUCUCUGUGUGCUGUGUUUACAUGCGGUUCCUGGGGCUCGGGAAAACAGAUCUCGCAGGUCCCUGCUCCUCUGUUCUCUACCCCCAGUACCAGCCCCGGGUGUCCCAGACUAGAAAGACCCCAAGAGGCAGAGCAAGCCAGGGUGGGAGGACCACAGCCCCCUAGGCAGCCCACCUGGCCCUUUGCAGGACCACGUAGAUUUUACUUCCAUUCUUAAGGAGUGGGUACAAGGACUGGGAGGAGGGCACUUAUGACAAGCACUCAUGGGGAGCCCUCAGCAGGCUGAGGUGGAGAGGAGGAAGGGACAGGGGGGCCCUUGUCCUCCCACUGCCCUCAACUAGAGCCCGGCUCCAAGAAGUGACAGAGCAGAGACCCUUAGAGGGAACCCGCGACCAAUGCCUCAGCCUCUUUGUGCCAUCUGGUGGUGGAAAGGGAGAAAGACAGGAGCAAGAAGAAGGGACUGGGAAGUUGAACAGCAGGGAUGACAAACUCCAGGGGUGAGUUCAAGUUUAGCCAACAAGUGGCCCUUCCCCAAGGUGUGCCUGAGGGGAGCCAUUAUGCUCCAGUGCCCUUGAGCCUGCCUCUACCACUUCUCCCUGGCAAGGGCUGGCCCCUCCCCUUCCAGGGUGUUGGCCUGAGCCUGAGUCACUUCCCAGGGCCCAUGGCUAGGAAGUCACCAGCGACAGGCCCAGGCUGCAGAGUCCAGCUGUCCAUGCACCACCAGCCAGGUCUUCCCAGGUGAGCAGUAGGGAGGGUCCUGGGACAUAGGAGCAGCUGGGUAAAGGG